rnacentral:rRNA from 1 species
AAGACCUUGCGCUUUUGGAGCGGCCGAUGCCUGAUUAGCUUGUUGGUAAGGUAAAAGCUUACCAAGGCUUCGAUCAGUAGCUGGUCUGAGAGGACGACCAGCCACACUGGGACUGAGACACGGCCCAGACUCCUACGGGAGGCAGCAGUGGGGAAUUUUGGACAAUGGGGGCAACCCUGAUCCAGCCACGCCGCGUGAGUGAAGAAGGCCUUCGGGUUGUAAAGCUCUUUCAGCCGGAACGAAACGGUUACGGAUAACACCCGUGACUACUGACGGUACCGGAAGAAGAAGCACCGGCUAACUACGAGCCAGCAGCCGCGGUAAUACGUAGGGUGCGAGCGUUAAUCGGAAUUACUGGGCGUAAAGCGUGCGCAGGUGGUUUUGUAAGUCAGAUGUGAAAGCCCCGGGCUCAACCUGGGAACU